rnacentral:rRNA from 1 species
GGAAGUGGGAUGAACGUCAAAUCAUCACUGCCCCUUAUGGUUCUGGGCUACACACGUGCUACAAUGGCCGGUACAGACGGACGCAAAGCCGCGAGGUGGAGCAAAUCCUAAAAAAGCCGGUCUCAGUUCCGGAUUGCAGGCUGCAAUUCGCCUGCAUGAAGUCGGAAUCGCUAGUAAUCGCAGGUCAGCAUACUGCGGUGAAUACGUUCCCGGGCCUU